rnacentral:tRNA from 1 species
GUGGUCGUGGCUCAACGGUUACAGCGCUCGGUUGUGGCCCGAGCGAUGUCGGUUCGACUCCGACCGAUCACCCCA